GUGGAAUUAAGCUUACAUUACGUAUUUGAUGCCGCACCAAGAAAUGCUCUCUCUCACUCAAGCCAAUGAGUCUGCGACAUUGCUUAAUUAUCUAUUACUAAAAAUCCACUUCCAUCACGCUUCGCUUGAACCAUUUUUGGAGGUACUGGCGGUGUAAGGUCAAGAUUUUUCACCAGGAGAAAGUGGUAAAGUUGUACAUCAGCGCGUGAUCGAAUUUGAGGAUUACAAUUUCACUGUGAAUGGUGCCCUGAGCCGGAUGCUGAUGAUCAUGAUCCUAUAAAUGCCGAGUUUUU